UACGAAGGGUGCAAACGUUGCUCGGAAUUAUUGGGCGUAAAGCGCACGUAGGCGGCUUUGCAAGUCGGAUGUGAAAGCCCUUGGCUCAACCAAGGAAGUGCAUUCGAAACUGCUGAGCUUGAGUACUUAAGAGGAUCGCGGAAUUCCCGGUGUAGAGGUGAAAUUCGUAGAUAUCGGGAAGAACACCAGUGGCGAAGGCGGCCAUCUGGAAAAACACUGACGCUGAAGCACGAAAGCGUGGGGAGCAGACAGG
rnacentral:rRNA from 1 species